rnacentral:ncRNA from 1 species
GCUUUUAUUAGACCAAUCGGGACACGUGUCCGUAUUAUGUGGUAACUCUGUAUAACUUUGGGCUGAUCGUGCGAGCUCGUCCCAGCGAUGCAUCUUCCUAGUGUCUGCCUUAUCAAGUGGAUGGUAGAUUACGCGCCUACCAUGGUCGUAAGGGUGACAGUGAAUCAGGGUUUGAUUCCGAAGAGGGAGUCUGAGAAAUGGCUACCACAUCCAAGGAAGGCAGCAGGAGCGCAAAUUACCCAGUCUCAGAAAGGGUAGGUAGUGACAAAAAAUAACAAUACGGGAUUCUUUUGAGACCCCGUAACUGAAAUGAGUACACUCUAAAUCCUUUAACGAGGAUCAAUUGCAGGGCAAGACUGGUGCCAGCAGCCUCGGUAAUUCUAGCUCUAACAGC